rnacentral:rRNA from 1 species
GACGAACGCUGGCGGCGUGCUUAACACAUGCAAGUCGAACGAUGAACCGAGAGCUUGCUCUUGGGGAUUAGUGGCGAACGGGUGAGUAACACGUGAGUAACCUGCCCUGGACUCUGGGAUAACCCCGAGAAAUCGGAGCUAAUACCGGAUAGGACCUUGCACCGCAUGGUGUGGGGUGGAAAGUUUGUUCGGUUUGGGAUGGACUCGCGGCCUAUCAGCUGGUUGGUGAGGUAAUGGCUCACCAAGGCGUCGACGGGUAGCCGGCCUGAGAGGGUGACCGGCCACACUGGGACUGAGACACGGCCCAGACUCCUACGGGAGGCAGCAGUGGGGAAUAUUGCACAAUGGGCGCAAGCCUGAUGCAGCAACGCUGCGUGCGGGAUGACGGCCUUCGGGUUGUAAACCGCUUUUAGUAAGGAAGAAGGGGAGCUUGCUCCUUGACGGUACUUGCAGAAAAAGGACCGGCUAACUACGUGCCAGCAGCCGCAGUAAAAC